rnacentral:rRNA from 1 species
UACGGUAGGUGGCAAGCGUUGUUCGGAAUUACUGGGCGUAAAGGGCUCGUAGGCGGCCAACUAAGUCGGACGUGAAAUCCCCAGGCUCAACCUGGGAACUGCGUCCGAUACUGGAUGGCUUGAAUUCGGGAGAGGGAUGCAGAAUUCCAGGUGUAGCGGUGAAAUGCGUAGAUAUCUGGAGGAAUACCGGUGGCGAAGGCGGCAUCCUGGACCGACAUUGACGCUGAUGAGCGAAAGCCAGGGGAGCAAACGGG